AGCACUCUUGCAGCUGGCAAAAAAAAAACUGCAGUGCGAACCAAAUCCACUGAAUUUGACCACCUUGGCAAACGGCAAGAAAUACUUUUUCUCCGCUUUUGAAGUGGAUUGGUUUAAAGCGAGAAGCUUCUGCGAAAGCAACAAAAUGCACCUGGCAGCGCCGAAGACCGUGGAAGACUCGUACUUUUCUUCGAGAA